rnacentral:pre_miRNA from 1 species
UCUGUACUCUCUCCGUCCCGAAUAAUUGUCGCAGACAUUGAUAGAAAUGGAUGUAUGUAGAACUAAAAAUACGUCUAAGUAUAUCGAUUUCUGCGACAAGUAAUUCGGGAUGGAGGAAGUAUUAC